rnacentral:rRNA from 1 species
AGAGUUUGAUCAUGGCUCAGAACGUACGCUGGCGGCACGCCUAACACAUGCAAGUCGAACGAAGUAGCAAUACUUAGUGGCAGACGGGUGAGUAACAUGUAGGUAUCUGCCCUUUGGCCUGGAAUAACACGAGGAAACUUGUGCUAAUACCGGAUAAGUCUUUACGGAGAAAGCUUUAUGCACCAUUGGAUGAGCCUGCACUUGAUUAGUUUGUUGGUGGGGUAAUGGCCUACCAAGACUGUGAUCAAUAGCUGAUUUGAGAGGAUGAUCAGCCACAUUGGGACUGAGACACGGCCCAAACUCCUACGGGAGGCAGCAGUGGGGAAUCUUGCACAAUGGAGGAAACUCUGAUGCAGCGAUGCCGCGUGAGUGAAGAAGGCCCUUGGGUUGUAAAGCUCUUUCGUCGGGGAAGAAAAUGACUGUACCCGAAUAAGAAGGUCCGGCUAACUUCGUGCCAGCAGCCGCGGUAAUACGAAGGGACCUAGCGUAGUUCGGAAUUACUGGGCUUAAAGAGUUCGUAGGUGGUUGAAAUAGUUGGUGGUGAAAUCCCAGAGCUUAACUCUGGAACUGCCAUCAAAACUUUUCAGCUAGAGUAUGAUAGAGGAAAGCAGAAUUUCUAGUGUAGAGGUGAAAUUCGUAGAUAUUAGAAAGAAUACCAAUUGCGAAGGCAGCUUUCUGGAUCAUUACUGACACUGAGGAACGAAAGCAUGGGUAGCGAAGAGGAUUAGAUACCCUCGUAGUCCAUGCCGUAAACGAUGUGUGUUAGACGUUGGAAAUUUAUUUUCAGUGUCGCAGGGAAACCGAUAAACACAC